UACGUAGGGGGCAAGCGUUGUCCGGAUUUAUUGGGCGUAAAGAGCGCGCAGGCGGUCGUUCAAGUCGAGUGUGAAAGCCCCCGGCUCAACUGGGGAGGGUCACUUGAUACUGAUCGACUCGAAGGCAGGAGAGGGAAGCGGAAUUCCCGGUGUAGUGGUGAAAUGCGUAGAUAUCGGGAGGAACACCAGUGGCGAAGGCGGCUUCCUGGCCUGUUCUUGACGCUGAGGCGCGAAAGCUAGGGGAGCAAACGGG
rnacentral:rRNA from 1 species